UACGUAGGGGGCAAGCGUUGUCCGGAAUCAUUGGGCGUAAAGAGCGUGUAGGCGGCUCGGUAAGUCCGUUCUGAAAGUCCAGGGCUCAACCCUGGGAUGCGGAUGGAUACUGCCGGGCUCGAGUCCGGAAGAGGCGAGUGGAAUUCCCGGUGUAGCGGUGAAAUGCGCAGAUAUCGGGAGGAACACCAAUGGCGAAGGCAGCUCGCUGGGACGUGACUGACGCUGAGGCACGAAGGCCAGGGGAGCAAACGGG
rnacentral:rRNA from 1 species